UUUGAGGGGAAUGUUGUUUGGCUCGAGGCCACCAACUUCAUCUAAUGUAAGCAACUCUUGUUAGUGUCGUCGGACCAGGCUUCAUUCCCCUCAAA
rfam:Solanum tuberosum cultivar DM 1-3 516 R44 scf00147_19, whole genome shotgun sequence.